UACGAAGGGGGCUAGCGUUGCUCGGAAUUACUGGGCGUAAAGCGCACGUAGGCGGCUCUUUAAGUCGGAGGUGAAAUCCUGGAGCUCAACUCCAGAACUGCCCUCGAUACUGAAGAGCUCGAGUCCGGGAGAGGUGAGUGGAACUGCGAGUGUAGAGGUGAAAUUCGUAGAUAUUCGCAAGAACACCAGUGGCGAAGGCGGCUCACUGGCCCGGUACUGACGCUGAGGUGCGAAAGCGUGGGGAUCAAACAGG
rnacentral:rRNA from 1 species